CACUGACGUCGCGACGCAUAUCAAUAAGCGGAGGAAAAGAAACUAACAAGGAUUCCCCUAGUAACGGCGAGUGGAGCGGGAAGAGCUCAAAUUUGAAAUCUUAAAGGGUUUCCCUUUACGAAUUGUAGUUUAAAGAAGUGUUUUCUGUUGGAGUUUCGGUAAAAAUUCUUUGGAAUAGGACAUCAUAGAGGGUGAGAAUCCCGUAUUUGACCGUUACUUUCCAGCUGUGUGAUACACUUUCAAAGAGUCGGAUUGUUUGGGAAUGCAGUCCAAAAUGGGUGGUAAAUUUCAUCUAAAGCUAAAUAUUGGCGAGAGACCGAUAGCGAACAAGUACCGUGAGGGAAAGAUGAAAAGAACUUUGAAAAGAGAGUUAAACAGUACGUGAAAUUGUCAAAAGGGAAGCGUUUGGCACCAGUGUUGUUUUCCUCGAAAAUCAAUUAAAAAUGGCUCGAUUUUGUAUUGCUUGAGACCUUAAAAGCUCACUGUACAUUUUUCGUGUCUUUUUUAAUGCACUUUUCGUUUAACAAGUCAACAUCAGUUUCUUUUGCUUGUAAAAGGGUCAUUGGAAGGUGGCUUUCUUUUCGGAGAAAGUGUUUAUAGCCUUUGGCCUCUGCAAUCGGAGAGACUGAGGUCUGCAGCGUAGACUCUUCGGGGUUAGAUACAUUUGUGCUAAGUUAUAGCUUUUUAUAGACAACUUGUUGACUUAUAAUUAGUCUUGUAGCUUACUCGCUUAUGCUAUUUUACCUACGCUUAGGAUGUUGACGAGACUGUCGAUCUCAUCAAUACAUGACUCUGUGCAUAUCAAUAAGCGGAGGAAAAGGAGUAUACCUACGCUUAGGAUGUUGAUCUACAGAGCGAGAGU
rnacentral:rRNA from 1 species